UACGAAGGGUGCAAGCGUUACUCGGAAUUACUGGGCGUAAAGCGUGCGUAGGCGGUUUGUUAAGUCCGUUGUGAAAGCCCUGGGCUCAACCUGGGAAUUGCAGUGGAAACUGGCUCGCUGGAGUGUGGCAGAGGGGGGUGGAAUUCCGCGUGUAGCAGUGAAAUGCGUAGAGAUGCGGAGGAACACCGAUGGCGAAGGCAGCCCCCUGGGCUAACACUGACGCUCAGGCACGAAAGCGUGGGGAGCAAACAGG
rnacentral:rRNA from 1 species